AAAAAACAUUGGAAAAGAAAGAUAAUGCAUGUAUGGAGAUCUGUGUAUUCACACAGGAUUUGGUGAAACUGUGCUUCUUCCAUCAUGAGGGCUUUGUAGAGGGUGGUUUGAAGAUGAAAUGGGAGGUCUUUUGUUGUGUGGUAAUGAGGAGGAAGUUCAGGCAAAUCUUGUAAAUGGAGUUCCACUAGCUGAAUUGAACAAGAGUACUUGUGUGGGAUUUUCUUCUUGAUGUAACUAAGAUUAAUGGGAGUUGAACAAAAAUCAAUCAAAAAGCCUCUAUCUGAGAGCUUCUUGGCUAGCUCAAGGAAAGGUGUGAAGUGUCCAUAAGCUAAGUAUGGAAACAUUAGAACACUCAAAUUUGUUGUUUCAGCCAUGACUUCUCUCUGUA
rnacentral:misc_RNA from 1 species